ACAACAUUCGGACCGUCGGUCUACCAAGCAAAUAUUAUCCGCUCGGUGGAUCUUCCUUUCGUCGU
rnacentral:pre_miRNA from 1 species